rnacentral:rRNA from 1 species
GACGAACGCUGGCGGCGUGCUUAACACAUGCAAGUCGAACGGUAUGGCCCUUCGGGGUACACGAGUGGCGAACGGGUGAGUAACACGUGGGUGAUCUGCCCUGCACUUCGGGAUAAGCCUGGGAAACUGGGUCUAAUACCGGAUAGGACCACUGCCUGCAUGGGUGGUGGUGGAAAGCUUUUGCGGUGUGGGAUGGGACCGCGGCCUAUCAGCUUGUUGGUGGGGUGAUGGCCUACCAAGGCGACGACGGGUAGCCGGCCUGAGAGGGUGACCGGCCACACUGGGACUGGGAUACGGCCCAGACUCCUACGGGAGGGAGCAGUGGAGAAUAUUGCACAAUGGGCGCAAGCCUGAUGCAGCGACGCCGCGUGGGGGAUGACGGCCUUCGGGUUGUAAACCUCUUUCAGCACCGACGAAGCGCAAGUGACGGUAGGUGCAGAAGAAGGACCGGCCAACUACGUGCCAGCAGCCGCGGUAA